rnacentral:sRNA from 1 species
UCGAUAGUCCAAAAUCUGCUAUCUUUGCUUUAAAAUUUUGACCCAAUAAAAUGUUGUUCGUCUUCACAUCCCCAUGAAUUAUUGGUAGGUUGCAACCCUUAUGUAGAUA